UGAUCACAAAGAGACCACAUUUUUUUUAAUUGAUAACUCCGUCUCUACAUACACACAAUAUUGCACAAAUCAGAGGUGGAUCAACAACUGUAUUAAUGAUACAAACUCAUGAGCAUUUACAUACAACUACUGCUCUAGGUCUUGCUGAAUUUUGUGCCAGGUACUUAACAUAAAGGAGCUCAGCUACAUUAAUUCAUGGGAAUAAGCUUUCAAAAGAAAGCAUAUAAAAGGGUACUUCAAAAAAUUCAUGGAAAGAUUUGUAUUAUCUUUUAAUUCUAUUUUCCCACAAACUUUUUGAAAUACCCUUGCAUGUCAUCUCACAGAAUACUUAAUAUGUCAAACCCAGAAAAAUCAAAAGACUAAGUGACAAAAGAAACACUUGAAAAGAAAAGUUGGUGACAGAAAUGUUAGGUUAAAAAUUUCUUAAAAAUUUUAGCAGUUGGAUCUAGGAAACAAAGUGUAAGCAUACUGGGAAUUUUAAGAAAAGACCCCCAUGUUUUGUUUCAUAAUUAUGACUACAUUCUAAAACAGUAAUUCUGGGUUGCUACAAUGUCUUCUCUGCUAGUAUAAGCCAUUGUUUCAAAAUUCUAAAGAAACAAGAUGGUAAUUCACAUACAAGGGUUUUAAAAUAAGAUUCUUCUCUCUCAAAGUAAAAUAAAACUACAGUUGACCCUUGAACAACAUGGGUUUGAAAUGCACAGGUCCACUUGCAGGCAGAUUUUUUUUCAAUAAAUAUACUGGAAAACUUUUGUUAGGUUCAUGAAUGCCAGUUAAGUAGCCUACCUAACACUGGGCUAUUAGCAUGCCAUUAGUAGUAAAGUAGAUAAGUUUUGGGGGAGUCAGAAGAUAUAGGUGGGGCUGGCCGGUUAGUUCACUUGGGAGAGCCUGAUGCUUGUAAUAUCAAGGUCCUGGGUUUGGACUGCUGUACAGGCCAGCUGCCCCCCNAAAAAAAAGAUAAGUUAUAGAUAGAUUUUCAAUUGCGUGGGUGGUCUGUACCCCUAACCCCUGUGUUGCUCAAAGGUCAACUGUACUAUGCCCGCCAUCAAAUUACAAAGAGAUUCUAUCAAAAUAUUGACCAGAUGGAGAAGCCAGACCGACAUUUACUCCACUGAUCGCCUCAGAGUGCAGAGCACCCUGUCACCUACAAAGAAGGGGGUGAUGACAGAGUCGCAGCUUUCCUCUAGCUGCAGAGUAAGGGUGGACAAGAGCCCUUUGGCUUCCCUGGGGUUUUGCUUCUCCACUAGAUGGCUUUUAAGAGACUUUUCAACUAAAAUCAUCUAAAUCAGCUUGAGAUCCCAUCUUUGAGAAAAGGUUAAGGGUGGCGGAAAAAAAAAGGGGGGG